rnacentral:rRNA from 1 species
AAAACUCCCUUUAAACCAUCGCGAACGUUACCCACGACGCCGUUGCCUCGGCGGAGCGUCGCCCCGUGCCGUCAAAAGCACGGGGCGUGCGCCCGCCGGGAGACCGGCACAACCAAACUCUUAUAACCAUUGGCCUCUCUGAGUAAGAUUUUUAAAUAAGUCAAAACUUUCAACAACGGAUCUCUUGGUUCUGGCAUCGAUGAAGAACGCAGCGAAAUGCGAUAAGUAAUGUGAAUUGCAGAAUUCAGUGAAUCAUCGAAUCUUUGAACGCACAUUGCGCCCGCCAGUAUUCUGGCGGGCAUGCCUGUUCGAGCGUCAUUUCAACCAUCAAGCCCUGCUUGUGUUGGGGUCCUGCGGCUGCCCGCAGGCCCUGAAAACCAGUGGCGGGCUCGCUAGUCACACCGAGCGCAGUAGCACAUCUCGCUUUGGUCGUGCGGCGGGUUCUUGCCGUAGAACACCCCCCUUUUAUCAAGGUUGACCUCGGAUCAGGUAGGAAUACCCGCUGAACUUAAGCAUAUCAAUAAGCGGAGGAAAAGAAACCAACAGGGAUUGCCCUAGUAACGGCGAGUGAAGCGGCAACAGCUCAAAUUUGAAAUCUGGCUUCGGCCCGAGUUGUAAUUUGUAGAGGGAGCUUUUGGCGAGGCACCUACUGAGUCCCCUGGAACGGGGCGCCAUAGAGGGUGAGAGCCCCGUAUAGUAGGACGCCGAGCCUUUGUAAAGCCCCUUCGACGAGUCGAGUAGUUUGGGAAUGCUGCUCAAAAUGGGAGGUAAAUUUCUUCUAAAGCUAAAUAUUGGCCAGAGAC